rnacentral:sRNA from 1 species
GGAUAUGAAGGCAAUCUGGCUGCAACAUCUGCCACCCCAGCAUUGCCAGGUUGAUUGGGCUGAUCCAGCUGGCUAGGCCGGUGUCCCUUCCCUCCCUCACUGCUCCACGUGUGUCCCUCUGAAGCUACACACUUGGUCAAAGAGGACAACCUUCCGCAACAGAAGAGGACCAUUCUUCAUUCACAGGUAUACGCGCGUCUGCGCUCCCUGCUGGAAGCUCUGAAGAUGUGGUGUUUUAUUAACCAUGGCAGAGCCUAACCUUUCCUAAUGCCUGGGCUGAAGGGAAAGUUCCAAAAGAGAGAGAAAACUUGAUGGUACAGGAGACAGAAGUCCAGUU